UUCAUAUUCAGAGAGGUAGCAAGUCCUGCAGACAGAGUCAUUUAGACAAAGACUUUUCUCUGCUUUAUUAGGAGUGUGUUUUCUGUUCUUGCUAAGUAUUGAAUUAAAGAUGUCUCUCUCGUGUGCUCUUUAAGUUUGAGAUAGAGAGUUUGAGAUAAAGAUUUUUUUUCCAUAGGAUGCUAUUGUGCUCAAAGCUAUAAAAUACCCUUCCAUUGUUAUUGCUCUAGGAAGCUGCUGCUAGAGAUUAUUUGAACUACAAUAAACAACUCCAUUAAAGCUCCUGAGCUCACCAAUGUCUCUCAUAAGGUCCUGGAUAAAAAGAUCAAUUUUUUUUUUCCCCUUUUUUGAGAAGUGUAAGUUGUCUGGUAAAAAUAUUGCAAGCUUCUACUAAUGAAAUGACCUACAAAACCUGAAGGACAAAGCAUUCUUUAAUCACCCAUGAAUGCAAAUUCCUUCAACAACAGGCACACCAGAGGAGAUCAGAAAUCCUGGAGCAGUUGGGGUGCAGAACCAAACCACUGUAGCCUUCAUCCCUUCAUUUAGAAAAGGGGCUCUUGGGGAUCGUGUCAAGUGGGAGUUCCAAUGUGAAAUGACAAAGGAUUGCUCCCAGCAUGCACAUUUAAGUACACCAGCAAUUUGGGGACACUUGGAUUUGAGAUCGGAAGGCUGCUCAGGGCUGCAGGCUGCCUAAUGACCUCUCCUAUGUCUGCACACAGCACAGUUCUCAGGGAGCUGUGGAAACCUACCACCUACCUUUAAGCACAAGACUGAGGCCCUACAUUUAGAAACCCCAUGAGUUCACCCCCAGCCUGCACUACAGUCCGGCUUCUGCCCCACCACGCUGCUGCUGAACAUACUUAGCCCCUGACUUGUGGGAUGACCUCCUGGCUUGACUUGGCCCAGCCUCAUCACCAUGAAUUUUCUGAUGACGUGGGCUCUGGAGAAAACACUUCUUUGCCAAUUCUUCUCUGACUCUGUCAUCAUUACAGAAUGCUGGAGAUGACUGGGGGUGUCGGUGGGAAGCUGAUGAAAAUCAAAGAUGGAAGUUUGUAGCUGUGGUGCCUUCCAAUAAAAAAAAAGAUAGGAAACAAGUUUAAUUCACAGAACAUCUGAAAAAACACUCUGAAAUUUGACAUGGCUAAUCUGCCCUAGUGAC
ensembl:lncRNA